ensembl:lncRNA
UUUUGUUGGUUGGAAAAAGGACCCUUGGGUCUUCAGAUUUGGGGCAAUAAGCUACACUCAUUAGAUCUGAAAAUGUAAUUGAAGUAAUGAGGUGAAUUGAAAAAGCACUGAGGUUAAUCACACACUCAGGUUUCAUUUAUUUAUGAAAUGAUUAUUAAGUCUUGAUGAUAUAUUGCUGAGUAUGAUGUAUCUGGCCCCAUUCUGGGCGCUGUGAUCUAGCCGAGAACUAGGCAGCAAGGUGCCUACCAUCAAGGAGACUGCAUUCUAGUGUGGGGUGAAAGAUACCAAAGGAAGCCAAGAAGUCCAUAAGAUAAUUUCAUCUCAGGUACAAAGCACAUAUGUCUUGAGCUUUCUGAGUAGAGACACAUCUGAGCUAAAUAAACACAUGAAAGGUCAGCUUGGUUGAGCGAAGAUGAGCUUAAGAGAAGAUCAGCAAGAUGGUCACUGGGUACUCCAAAGAGCUUCAGAAGAGAAGGGGAGGAAUCACAAAGAGAAAUUCUUAAAUCCUGCUGAUCUCAUUGUUUCCCCAGAGAAGGUAAAGUGCUACGAGGGAUCCCAGUGCAUCAGUUGUAGCUACGGGAUGGAGUGAAGCAAAAGGGAGCCUUCGCCCUCAGUGUCUGUGCCUCUCUCACCUUCAAUAGUCUCUACGAGGGAUCCCAGUGCAUCAGUUGUAGCUACGGGAUGGAGUGAAGCAAAAGGGAGCCUUCGCCCUCAGUGUCUGUGCCUCUCUCACCUUCAAUAGUCUCUUCUUUACUUCUUAGAAAUCUGGGACUCUCAUCAUCACGGUUUGCAAACAGCUUUCUUAAGGAAUCUAGUUAGUUAUUAAAACAUAUGCUUCAUUUUAUACUUUUGUAUGCAGAGAGAUAAAAUUUAACCCUUUCAAUCUCUCAGACACUUGAGAAAACAUAUUAUUUGAAAUUCUUUAAAAGCUGCUCUGAUUGUACAUUGGAGCUUCAAUAAUGAAUAGAAAUGUUAAUUGACAGUGUGCUUAUUUUAUAUUUCUAAGAGCAAGUGAAUGGAGAAGUAGAUUAACACCCAGGAAACCAUAUGGGAAAGAGGUUGUUAGCAAUUUGGACAAUGAGGCUUUCACACCACCAUCCUCCUGGAAACAUCUUAUCCUAAUUAUAGUCAAAAUUACUAAGAAAAUUUAAAGAACUUCUUGAGAAAUGUCCUUUGACCCAGGUCUAUAAUGUUAUUGGAAAUAUCUCAACACAAAAGCUUCUAUAGCAUGUUUAUAAAAUAUUUACCUGUUUUCUUUUUUAAAACAUCUCUGUUUUUUUUCAUUUUUGCUAUUUUGCUUCUUAAUUAUUCCUAUUAUCUGCUUCUCAGGUUAAGCAUUAUCUAAGUACCUGCAGUAAGAAUAUGUUAACUGGUUCAGAGAUUCUCUAAGAAUAAUUUAAAACUGUGCAUUUAUCAUUUUUUUUUCUUAGAAAUUCAGCCUAUGAAACAAACCACUUUGGAGGUGGGAAAAUGUACAUAUGUAAUGAACUGAUAUGUUUAGAUUCCAUUACUGUCAAAAUAUAUUAAAUGCUUUAAAAUACCGGAAUUGAGUUCCUUUAGAAUGAGGUGUCCUUGUAUUGGACAUUUCCUUUAACAUAUAUUGUAGAAAAAAGGUUUAACCUAGUUUUAAAUACUUUUUUUAAUUUUUAAAGAUUCAUAUUUAUGUUGUAAUCCUGAGGAUUGUUAUUAUAAAAUAUAAACUUUUUCCUUGAUUGUUUACACAUCUGGUAUUAAGAUUAAAUAUUUUUUUGUUUAUGGCUAUACUUCUACUCUAGGAAUUUUAGAAUAUUUAGAUCAGAGGUUGGGCAGACUUCCUUCUCUUUUGCCAGAGCACAGUUAAUUACUUAGUCCUUUUUUUUUUUUUUAAGCAAUGAACCUUAUAAGACAUGAAGUUCCAGGCAAAAAGUGUUUUCCAAUGAGUGAAAGUUGCUCAGUCGUGUCCGACUCUUGCCACAUGGAAUUCUCCAGGCCAGAAUACUGGAGUGGGUACCCUUUCCCUUCUCCAAGGGAUCUUCCCAACCCAGGGAUCAAACCCAGGUCUCCCACAUUGCAGGUGGGAGAAGGUGGAUCUUUACCAGCUGAGCCACAAGGGAAGCCUGUUUUCUAAGGAAGUCCCUUUUUUAUUUUAUACUUACAAUUACAUUACAUAACCAUUAGAUAGUCCCAAUAGUCUCAGAUAGUGAGAUCUCUUUCUUUUCUUUUGAAGUUUGAGCAGUAUUAAAACCUUCUUCUAUUUUUUUUUUUAAAUUUUAUUUUAUUUUCAAACUUUACAAUAUUGUUAUUAGUUUUGCCAAAUAUCGAAAUGAAUCCGCCACAGGUAUACAGUGUGUUCCCCAUCCUGAACCCUCCUCCCUCU